AUUGAACGCUUGCGGCAGGCCUAACACAUGCAAGUCGAACGAGUGGCGGACGGGUGAGUAAUGUCUGGGAAACUUCCUGCUGGAGGGGGAUAACUACUGGAAACUGUAGAUAAUACCGCCUACCAUCCUAUGUGCCCAGAUGGGAGUAGCUCGUUGUUGGGGUAACGGCUCACCAAGGCGACGAUCCCUAGCUGGUCUGAGAGGAUGACCAGCCACACUGGAACUGAGACACGGGCCAGACUCCGACGGGAGGCAGCAGUGGGGAAUAUUGCACAAUGGGCGAAAGCAUGAUGCAGCCAUGCCGCGUGUAUGAAGAAGGCCUUAGGGUCGUAAAGUACUUGCAGCGGGGAGGCGUUACCCGCAGAAGAAGCACCGGCUAACUCCGUGCCAGCAGCCGCGGUAAUUC
rnacentral:rRNA from 1 species